UACGUAGGGUGCGAGCGUUGUCCGGAAUUAUUGGGCGUAAAGAGCUUGUAGGCGGUUUGUCGCGUCUGCUGUGAAAUCUCAAGGCUCAACCUUGGGCUUGCAGUGGGUACGGGCAGACUAGAGUGUGGUAGGGGAGACUGGAAUUCCUGGUGUAGCGGUGAAAUGCGUAGAUAUCAGGAGGAACACCGGCGGUGUAGACGGCUUGCUAGACCACCCCUGACGCUGAGGCACGAAAGCGUGGGUAGCAAACAGG
rnacentral:rRNA from 1 species